rnacentral:rRNA from 1 species
GCGUGCCUAAUACAUGCAAGUCGAACGAAACUUUCUUACACCGAAUGCUUGCAUUCACCGUAAGAAGUUGAGUGGCGGACGGGUGAGUAACACGUGGGUAACCUGCCUAAAAGAAGGGGAUAACACUUGGAAACAGGUGCUAAUACCGUAUAUCUCUAAGGAUCGCAUGAUCCUUAGAUGAAAGAUGGUUCUGCUAUCGCUUUUAGAUGGACCCGCGGCGUAUUAACUAGUUGGUGGGGUAACGGCCUACCAAGGUGAUGAUACGUAGCCGAACUGAGAGGUUGAUCGGCCACAUUGGGACUGAGACACGGCCCAAACUCCUACGGGAGGCAGCAGUAGGGAAUCUUCCACAAUGGACGCAAGUCUGAUGGAGCAACGCCGCGUGAGUGAAGAAGGUCUUCGGAUCGUAAAACUCUGUUGUUAGAGAAGAACACGAGUGAGAGUAACUGUUCAUUCGAUGACGGUAUCUAACCAGCAAGUCACGGCUAACUACGUGCCAGCAGCCGCGGUAAUACGUAGGUGGCAAGCGUUGUCCGGAUUUAUUGGGCGUAAAGCGAGUGCAGGCGGUUCAAUAAGUCUGAUGUGAAAGCCUUCGGCUCAACCGGAGAAUUGCAUCAGAAACUGUUGAACUUGAGUGCAGAAGAGGAGAGUGGAACUCCAUGUGUAGCGGUGGAAUGCGUAGAUAUAUGGAAGAACACCAGUGGCGAAGGCGGCUCUCUGGUCUGCAACUGACGCUGAGGCUCGAAAGCAUGGGUAGCGAACAGGAUUAGAUACCCUGGUAGUCCAUGCCGUAAACGAUGAGUGCUAAGUGUUGGGAGGUUUCCGCCUCUCAGUGCUGCAGCUAACGCAUUAAGCACUCCGCCUGGGGAGUACGACCGCAAGGUUGAAACUCAAAGGAAUUGACGGGGGCCCGCACAAGCGGUGGAGCAUGUGGUUUAAUUCGAAGCAACGCGAAGAACCUUACCAGGUCUUGACAUCCAGUGCAAACCAAGAGAUUAGGAGUUCCCUUCGGGGACGCUGAGACAGGUGGUGCAUGGCUGUCGUCAGCUCGUGUCGU